rnacentral:misc_RNA from 1 species
AGCCUCCUGCGGAUAGCUCUGGUCUUUUUAGGGCGCAGAUCAAGAGGUAAAAAUUUCUUAUUCUCAUAUGCCUCCCUAAGGGCAGCCUUCUGUUUCUGAGAAAUGACAGUCAAAACUUGUGCUAUCGAUAAUCUUACCACCUUGAUCUUGCUGAGCUUGUUAGAAGCACCACCAGUGACCUUGGCGACCCGAAGGAGAGCAAGUUCAGCCUUUAGAUCCUUCAAUUGGUUCAAAAGCUCAGUCUUCGACUUCUGCCUCAACUCAUGGACCUUGAUUCUGGCCAUCUCUUUCUCUGAGGUUGGACAACGGCGACUGCUCUGUGUCUCUGCUACUCUGCUUGAG